AGGGAAUCUUCCACAAUGGACGCAAGUCUGAUGGAGCAACGCCGCGUGAGUGAAGAAGGCUUUCGGGUCGUAAAACUCUGUUAUUGAAGAAGAACGUGUGUGACAGUAACUGGUCAUGCAGUGACGGUAUUCAAUCAGAAAGUCACGGCUAACUACGUGCCAGCAGCCGCGGUAAUACGUAGGUGGCAAGCGUUGUCCGGAUUUAUUGGGCGUAAAGCGAGUGCAGGCGGUCUUUUAAGUCUGAUGUGAAAGCCUUCGGCUUAACCGAAGAAGGGCAUCGGAAACUGGGAGACUUGAGUGCAGAAGAGGAGAGUGGAACUCCAUGUGUAGCGGUGAAAUGCGUAGAUAUAUGGAAGAACACCAGUGGCGAAGGCGGCUCUCUGGUCUGUAACUGACGCUGAGGCUCGAAAGCGUGGGUAGCAAACAGGAUUAGAUACCCUGGUAGUCCACGCC
rnacentral:rRNA from 1 species